rnacentral:rRNA from 1 species
AGCGAACGCUGGCGGCAGGCUUAACACAUGCAAGUCGAGCGGGCGUAGCAAUACGUCAGCGGCAGACGGGUGAGUAACGCGUGGGAACAUACCUUUUGGUUCGGAACAACACAGGGAACGUUAGUGCUAAUACCGGAUAAGCCCUUACGGGGAAAGGAUUAUCGCCGAAAGAUUGGCCCGCGUCUGAUUAGCUAGUUGGUGAGGUAAUGGCUCACCAAGGCGACGAUCAGUAGCGGUCUGAGAGGAUGAUCAGCCACAUUGGGACGUGAGACACGGCCCAAACUCCUACGGGAGGCAGCAGUGGGGAAUAUUGGGACAAUGGGCGGCAAGCCUGAUCCAGCC